GAGGACAGUGAGGAAGGAUAUCCACAUAUCAACUCCACUCUGAUGAUCUUUGCAGAUGUGGAAAGCAAGAUUCGAUUGAAAGUCAUUAACCGAGAGGUGAACAUGGUCGCCCCAGCAAAAGCAAAUUAUCUGAGAUGGUCCCAAACACCCAUCACAUUCGACCAAUCUGAUCACCCGACUCAUAUUGCCACCCCUGGGAGGCAAGCUUUGGUGGUCGAUCCAGAUGUCGAAGGCACUCGACUGACAAAAGUGCUGAUGGACGGUGGUAGUGGGCUGAAUUUGUUGUAUGCAGACACGCUGAAAGGAAUGGGCAUUCUGAUGUUCCGACUGAGCACCAGUAACAUGAGCUUUCAUGGAGUUAUACCAGGGAAGAAAGCCGAGUCACUCGGCCAAAUAGCUCUAGACGUGGUGUUUGGUGAUUCGAAACAUUUUCGCAAAGAGAAGUUGACGUUUGAGGUCGUGGAUUUU
rnacentral:rRNA from 1 species